ACAAGCCUGAGAAACGGCUAGUAGGACUAAGGUCUGCAGCAGGCGCGAAACUUACACAAUGCUAGAUUAAGAUAUAGCGAUGUAGUGAAGAAAAAUAACGAUGUACUUCCAUUUAAACAUGGUAGUACAAUUGGAAUGAGACGACUCUAAACCAGUCAGUCGAGUAACAAAUGGAGGGCAAGUCUGGUGCCAGCAGCCGCGGUAAUUCCAGCUCCAUUAGCAUACAUUAAAGUUGUUGCGGUUAAAAAGCUCGUAGUUGAAUUUCGGGCGGGCUCUAUUGGGAUGCAAUCGUUAAGGCCUCACUUGCUUCGGCUAGCUGUUGCUGGUUGUAUUUUCCCUAUAGGAACCCGUUGUUUCGUCACUUAUUCGAGUGCGAAGCGGGCUGGUGUUCGUUUGGAGUUUACUCCUUGAAUAACAGCAUGUUUACCUUGAGAAAAUUAGAGUGCUCACAGCAGGCAGUUGGGGUGUAAAAGCUCCUUUAUGCUUGAAUAAUGUUGCAUGGAAUAAUAGAAUACGGCCUCGGUUCUAUUCUGUUGGUCUUAUAGAACAACAAACAAGUUGAUUAAGGCGAUCAAAGGUCCAUUUUGAGUGUGGCCAUUGCGUAGUUUAGGCCACAAACUUCAUACGGUUCUUGUUGUCUGGGGCCUUAAAAUCUCAGUACCAUAUCCGUUUGCUAGCGCGUACCUAGGCUUGCAUGGUCAUCAAAGCACUCUUAGUGUGGCUAGCUUUCUAAUCAACUGAGGCAAUGGUUAAAAGAAAUAGUCGCGGCGGCAUCAGUACUGCAUCGUGAGAG
rnacentral:rRNA from 1 species